GUAGGGUGCGAGCGUUAAUCGGAAUUACUGGGCGUAAAGCGAGCGCAGACGGUUAAUUAAGUCAGAUGUGAAAUCCCCGAGCUCAACUUGGGACGUGCAUUUGAAACUGGUUAACUAGAGUGUGUCAGAGGGAGGUAGAAUUCCACGUGUAGCAGUGAAAUGCGUAGAGAUGUGGAGGAAUACCGAUGGCGAAGGCAGCCUCCUGGGAUAACGCUGACGUUCAUGCUCGAAAGCGUGGGUAGCAAACAGGAUUAGAUACCCUGGUAGUCCACGCCCUAAACGAUGACAAUUAGCUGUUGGGACACUAGAUGUCUUAGUAGCGAANCUAACGCGUGAAAUUGUCCGCCUGGGGAGUACGGUCGCAAGAUUA
rnacentral:rRNA from 1 species